UACGUAUGGGGCUAGCGUUGUCCGGAUUUACUGGGGGUAAAGGGCGCGUAGGCUGGUUAAUAAGUCAAAGGUGAAAUCUCCCGGCUCAACUUGGAAACUGCACUUGAUGCUUUUAGGCUUGAGUACGGAAUAGAAAGACGGAAUUCCAGGCGUAGUGGUGAAAUUAGUAGAUAUCUGGACGAACAUCAGUGGCGAAGGCGGUCUCUUGGUCCGAUACUGGCGCUCAGGCGCGAAAGCGUUGGGAGCAUACAGG
rnacentral:rRNA from 1 species